GAUGAACGCUAGCUGGAGGCUUAAUACAUGCAAGUCGAGCGGGAUUGGUAGCAAUACCAUGAGAGCGGCGCACGGGUGAGUAACGCGUACACGACCUACCUCUGACAGGGGGAUAGCCCUGGGAAACUGGGAUUAAUACCGCAUAUUAUUCUGAUUAAUAAAGGAUUGGAAUGAAAGUUCAGGCGGUCAGAGAUGGGUGUGCGUCUGAUUAGCUAGUUGGUAGGGUAACGGCCUACCAAGGCGAUGAUCAGUAGGGGGCGUGAGAGCGUGGUCCCCCACACGGGUACUGAGACACGGACCCGACUCCUACGGGAGGCAGCAGUAAGGAAUAUUGGACAAUGGCCGAAAGGCUGAUCCAGCCAUCCAGCGUGCAGGAAGAAGGCCCUAUGGGUUGUAAACUGCUUUUAUCAGGGAAUAAACCUCUGGAUUCACUCCGGAGCUGAAGGUACCUGAAGAAUAAGCACCGGCUAACUCCGUGCCAGCAGCCGCGGU
rnacentral:rRNA from 1 species